ACCGAUCUUGGCCUGGGGACCACACAACUUGGAGAUACCAGUACACAGACUUUGAAUGUGGAAAUAGCUUGCUAGAUUGCCCCAGAAGCCUGAAAGAUUGCCUGUCUGCUUCUAAGGUUAUGUCUUCACUACUGGCUGGAUCGGCAGGCAGCGAUGGAUCCAGUGAGUAUUGAUUUAUCGCAUCUAGUCUAGACGUGAUAAAUCGACCCCCGCGUGCUCUCCCGUUGACUCCUGUACUCCAGCUCGGUGAGAGGCGCAGGAAGGCCACCACGCAUCACAUUGCUGACUCAUGCCGAGGCUGUGAUCCACCACAACUUUCCCAUUCUUCUCAGCAGUGCUGCUGCCAAGCCAGUUCUUCAGUCAUUGGGGUGGCUUUCAACUUCCUGGUUACAGACAACAAAACAGAGCGACUCUGAUCAAGGGUAGCGUUAACAUCACCCUUUGAAGGAAAAAAAUAGAGAUUGUGAUUUCUAACAAGGAAGCUUUGGAAAAACACUGAUGAUCCCCAAUCUUUUUCGGUGAUUCAGGGAGAUAUACUGCAUGCUAGCAGAAUCACCAUCACUGCUAUUAUCCUGACCUGCAUACUCUGAAAUCAACUGUAUAUGACUCCUUUAACCAUUUAAUAACCCUCUUAUUUUCUAUUAAUAAAUCUUUAGUUCAUUAAA